GAUGAACGCUGGCGGCGUGCCUAAUACAUGCAAGUCGAGCGAACGGACGAGAAGCUUGCUUCUCUGAUGUUAGCGGCGGACGGGUGAGUAACACGUGGAUAACCUACCUAUAAGACUGGGAUAACUUCGGGAAACCGGAGCUAAUACCGGAUAAUAUUUUGAACCGCAUGGUUCAAAAGUGAAAGACGGUCUUGCUGCCACUUAUAGAUGGAUCCGCGCUGCAUUAGCUAGUUGGUAAGGUAACGGCUUACCAAGGCAACGAUGCAUAGCCGACCUGAGAGGGUGAUCGGCCGCACUGGAACUGAGACACGGUCCAGACUCCUACGGGAGGCAGCAGUAGGGAAUCUUCCGCAAUGGGCGAAAGCCUGACGGAGCAACGCCGCGUGAGUGAUGAAGGUCUUCGGAUCGUAAAACUCUGUUAUUAGGGAAGAACAUAUGUGUAAGUAACUGUGCACAUCUUGACGGUACCUAAUCAGAAAGCCACGGCUAACUACGUG
rnacentral:rRNA from 1 species